AGGAUAAACGCUGGCGGCGUGCAUUAGACAUGCAAGUCGAACGGACUUCUCGGGGCUUGCUCUGAGAAGUUAGUGGCGGACGGCUGAGUAACGCGUAGGUGACCUACCCCGAAGUGGGGAAUAACUGCCCGAAAGGGUGGCUAAUACCGCAUGUGAUCGUAUGUUCAUUCGUACGAUCAAAGCCGUAAGGCGCUUCGGGAGGGGCCUGCGUCCGAUUAGCUCGUUGGUGGGGUAAUGGCUCACCAAGGCGACGAUCGGUAGGUGGUCUGAGAGGACGAUCACCCAGACUGGGACUGAGACACGGCCCAGACUCCUACGGGAGGCAGCAGUGGGGAAUUGUUCGCAAUGGGCGCAAGCCUGACGACGCAACGCCGCGUGGAGGAUGAAGGUCUUCGGAUUUGUAAACUCCUGUUGCCCGGGACGAAUGGCCCAACCUAAUACGUUGGAGUGCGGACGGUACCGGGUGAGGAAGCCCCGGCUAACUCGUGUGCCAGCAGCCGC
rnacentral:rRNA from 1 species